CAGGAUUAGAUACCCUGGUAGUCCACGCCGUAAACGAUGUCGACUUGGAGGUUGUGCCCUUGAGGCGUGGCUUCCGGAGCUAACGCGUUAAGUCGACCGCCUGGGGAGUACGGCCGCAAGGUUAAAACUCAAAUGAAUUGACGGGGGCCCGCACAAGCGGUGGAGCAUGUGGUUUAAUUCGAUGCAACGCGGAGAACCUUACCUGGUCUUGACAUCCACGGAAGUUUUCAGAGAUGAGAAUGUGCCUUCGGGAACCGUGAGACAGGUGCUGCAUGGCUGUCGUCAGCUCGUGUUGUGAAAUGUUGGGUUAAGUCCCGCAACGAGCGCAACCCUUAUCCUUUGUUGCCAGCGGUCCGGCCGGGAACUCAAAGGAGACUGCCAGUGAUAAACUGGAGGAAGGUGGGGAUGACGUCAAGUCAUCAUGGCCCUUACGACCAGGGCUACACACGUGCUACAAUGGCGCAUACGAAGAGAAGCGACCUCGCGAGAGCAAGCGGACCUCAUAAAGUGCGUCGUAGUCCGGAUUGGAGUCUGCAACUCGACUCCAUGAAGUCGGAAUCGCUAGUAAUCGUGGAUCAGAAUGCCACGGUGAAUACGUUCCCGGGCCUUGUACACACCGCCCGUCACACCAUGGGAGUGGGUUGCAAAAGAAGUAGGUAGCUUAACCUUCGGGAGGGCGCUUACCACUUUGUGAUUCAUGACUGGGGUGAAGUCGUAACAAGGUAACC
rnacentral:rRNA from 1 species